rnacentral:RNase_P_RNA from 1 species
CGAGCCGGCCGGGCGGCCGCGUGGGGAUCAUCGAUCCUCCCGAGGAACGUCCGGGCUCCACAAGGCAGGGUGGUGGGUAACGCCCACCCGGGGUGACCCGCGGGACAGUGCCACAGAAAGCAAACCGCCCGGCGCUCAGGCGCUGGGUAAGGGUGAAACGGUGGUGUAAGAGACCACCAGUGCCCAGGGUGACCUGGGCAGCUAGGUAAACCCCACCCGGAGCAAGGUCAAGAGGGGCCAUCGGCUGAUGGCCCUGCGCGGACGUACGAGGGCUGCCCGCCCGAGUCCGCGGGUAGACCGCACGAGGCUGCCGGCAACGACAGCCCUAGAUGGAUGGCCGCCUCCCGGCCGACCGCAAGGUCGCCCGGAGACAGAACCCGGCGUACAGGCCGACUCGUCCG